AGCUGUUCCCCUCUGGAGGUUUUAUGACCUUCACAUCUCAAGGACCUCGGCUUCGCCGCAGGUCCUUUUUUUUGGCCCAU
rnacentral:sRNA from 1 species